rnacentral:lncRNA from 1 species
GGUAUAUAUUGGAAAAUAAAAUUUUAAAACAACGUGGCCAGAUAUAUGACAGAUCUUCAAUAGGUGAGAAACCUGGAAAUGAGCCUGAAGAGGUGAAGCUGCAGAAUGCCAGCAAACAGAUUGUGCAGAAUGCAAUCCUGCAAGCUGUGCAGCAAGUCUCCCAGGAGAGUCAGCGCAGAGAAGAGAGAAUCAGUGACAACCGGGACCACAUCCAACUGGCCGUUGGGGAGUUAACCAAGAAGAACGAAAAGAAGUAACAUGGUGGAUUUGGCUCUUGACAUGUGCUUGGUUUCUAGCCUUCCUCUUAGUAUAGGACGCAUCUCCAAAAUGUUGCCAGUAAAGCAAACCGAAGUGUCACCGGCACCUAGCUGUAGAAUGAAUUCGCACUAGCCCCUGGCUGAGAAGCACUGUUUUGAAAAAGUGCAUUAGACGAUUCUGUUCAUAUUUAUGCAGUGCCUCUGAGACAUAGUGGGGCCAAAUAUGACACUGUAAUUGCAAAAGUAGUUUUGCA